rnacentral:rRNA from 1 species
GACGAACGCUGGCGGCGUGCUUAACACAUGCAAGUCGAACGGAAAGGCCCUGCUUUUGUGGGGUGCUCGAGUGGCGAACGGGUGAGUAACACGUGAGUAACCUGCCCUUGACUUUGGGAUAACUUCAGGAAACUGGGGCUAAUACCGGAUAGGAGCUCCUGCUGCAUGGUGGGGGUUGGAAAGUUUCGGCGGUUGGGGAUGGACUCGCGGCUUAUCAGCUUGUUGGUGGGGUAGUGGCUUACCAAGGCUUUGACGGGUAGCCGGCCUGAGAGGGUGACCGGCCACAUUGGGACUGAGAUACGGCCCAGACUCCUACGGGAGGCAGCAGUGGGGAAUAUUGCACAAUGGGCGGAAGCCUGAUGCAGCAACGCCGCGUGCGGGAGGACGGCCUUCGGGUUGGAAACCGCUUUCGCCUGUGACGAAGCGUGAGUGACGGUAAUGGGUAAAGAAGCACCGGCUAACUACGUGC